rnacentral:rRNA from 1 species
GACGAACGCUGGCGGCGUGCCUAAUACAUGCAAGUAGAACGCUGAAGGAGGAGCUUGCUUCUCUGGAUGAGUUGCGAACGGGUGAGUAACGCGUAGGUAACCUGCCUGGUAGCGGGGGAUAACUAUUGGAAACGAUAGCUAAUACCGCAUAAUAGUAGAUGUUGCAUGACAUUUGCUUAAAAGGUGCACUUGCCUCACUACCAGAUGGACCUGCGUUGUAUUAGCUAGUUGGUGGGGUAACGGCUCACCAAGGCGACGAUACAUAGCCGACCUGAGAGGGUGAUCGGCCACACUGGGACUGAGACACGGCCCAGACUCCUACGGGAGGCAGCAGUAGGGAAUCUUCGGCAAUGGACGGAAGUCUGACCGAGCAACGCCGCGUGAGUGAAGAAGGUUUUCGGAUCGUAAAGCUCUGUUGUAAGAGAAGAACGAGUGUGAGAGUGGAAAGUUCACACUGUGACGGUAUCUUACCAGAAAGGGACGGCUAACUACGUG